GAUGAAGAACGUAGUGAAAUGCGAUAAGUAAUGUGAAUUGCAGAAUUCAGUGAAUCAUCGAAUCUUUGAUCGCACAUUGCGCCCCCUGGUAUUCCGGGGGGCAUGCCUGUCCGAGCGUCAUUACAACCCUCAAGCUCAGCUUGGUAUUGGGCCCCGCCGCUCCGGCGGGCCCUAAAGUCAGUGGCGGUGCCGUCCGGCUCCGAGCGUAGUAAUUCUUCUCGCUCUGGAGGUCCGGUCGUGUGCUCGCCAGCAACCCCCAAUUUUUUUCAGGUUGACCUCGGAUCAGGUAGGGAUACCCGCUGAACUUAAGCAUAUCAAUAAGCGGAGGA
rnacentral:misc_RNA from 1 species